rnacentral:rRNA from 1 species
ACAACGACUUUCGGCAACGGAUAUCUAGGCUCUCGCAUCGAUGAAGAACGUAGCAAAAUGCGAUACUUGGUGUGAAUUGCAGAAUCCCGUGAACCAUCGAGUUUUUGAACGCAAGUUGCGCCCGAAGCCAUUAGGCCGAGGGCACGCCUGCCUGGGCGUCUC